rnacentral:rRNA from 1 species
UACAGAGGUCUCAAGCGUUGUUCGGAUUCAUUGGGCGUAAAGGGCGCGUAGGCGGCGGGGGAAGUCGGGUGUGAAAUCUCAGAGCUCAACUCUGAAAUGGCACUUGAUACUGCUCUGCUAGAGGACUGGAGAGGAGAUUGGAAUUCACGGUGUAGCAGUGAAAUGCGUAGAUAUCGUGAGGAAGACCGGUGGCGAAGGCGGAUCUCUGGACAGUUCCUGACGCUGAGGCGCGAAGGCCAGGGGAGCAAACGGG